rnacentral:lncRNA from 1 species
GAAAUUUAUCUUGAAUCUUGAGUUGGAAGAUGUCAUAGACAAGCAUAAGGCCUUGAAGAUAGUCUUUGCGAUCAAGUAUGGAACAGCUAAAACUUUGGUUUUUCACCAAACAAGUUGGUGAAUCUAUGUUGUUUUUUAUUUUUCCCAAACAAGUUUGUCAACCUAUGUUGUCUAGUUGGACAGUUCGUAAAAAUAAAAUAACUUGGGAAAAAGAGAGGGAAAUCUAAUGUUUCAAAGAGUCAGGGAUUAUGAUUUUGUAUGUAAUCUGCUUCAGUUUUUAUCUAAACUAUCCUGAGGUCCAACCUUUUUUGCUGACUUAUUUAAUGAUCAUUAAAUUCCCAAUUUUCAUGUGAAGCAUAAUUUAAUAACUUUAAAUCAUGGAAGCAAGAGUUGCUAUUAACUUAAUAACUUUAAAUAAUAGAAAACGGUAUUCUUCUCAUUUUUGGAAAAGGACAUUUUUCGUAUCUCUUCUUCAAGGAUUAGUACCUAUAUGCCCAUGCCCAAUCUUAUUCUAUAGAUCCUACAUUUACUUUUUGUUCUAAGCUUUCCGGUGAACACUCUUCAUUUCCUGUCACAUUCAUGUUUUCAUUUGUCAUCAUCCUUUUUGCCAUACAGAUUAUAGUCUUGGGUCUUUGAGAGAAUUGCUAUUUCAUCUGGCUGAGUUGGAAAUCAGUAGUUGAGUGGGACUGACGCAUAAUUGAUUGAUUAAUACAACUUUUGUAGUUGGCCUUGUUGGGUUAGUUUUAUAUGAUUUAGCUCUUCUUUAAACUGUUGAGUAUGCCCUGAAAUUUUAUUUUUGUUUCUAAAUCAGUUCCAUCUUUGAGGCCACCAAUUAGCAUUUGCCAUGAUAUUUUGCAACAAUCAUAGGGCUUGUCUAUGCAUACUUAAUAUGGUAUACAUAUUUGAAUGGUUACACACACUUAUUGUUAUUGAAUUUGAUGUAAAUAUGAUGGGAGAUAAACAAACCGUCUGCAAAAUAUUCUCAUGGGUAAGCGGUGCAUGAAGUAUUUCUUCUCUUAGUACUUCUGUUUAUUCUUGAUAAUGUUAUCUUUUAUUUGAUAGAGUGAUUUAAUGCCGUUAAAAAGUUUAAAAUGGUAAUGUCCUCAUUCGGAAAUUAUG